AGCUGAGAUCGUGCCACUGCAUGCCAGCCUGGGCGACAGAGCAAGACCCUGUCAAAAAUAAUAAUAAUAAUAAAGGCAAUUGUUCUAGUGAUGUUAAGUGAGCUUAAUGUAUCACUGCAGAUGCUGAACUUAUGUGAUAGGUGAAAUAGAAAGGGUGAAUUUAAAACAGAAUUUUUUAUCUCAUUCUUUCUUUCUGUUCUUUUUAAUAAAAGGAAGGAUUACGGCCAGGAGAUACAACCAGCACUUUCUGUGGUACUCCUAAUUACAUUGCUCCUGAAAUUUUAAGAGGAGAAGAUUAUGGUUUCAGUGUUGACUGGUGGGCUCUUGGAGUGCUCAUGUUUGAGAUGAUGGCAGGAAGGUCUCCAUUUGAUAUUGUUGGGAGCUCCGAUAACCCUGACCAGAACACAGAGGAUUAUCUCUUCCAAGUUAUUUUGGAAAAACAAAUUCGCAUACCACGUUCUCUGUCUGUAAAAGCUGCAAGUGUUCUGAAGAGUUUUCUUAAUAAGGACCCUAAGGAACGGUUGGGUUGUCAUCCUCAAACAGGAUUUGCUGAUAUUCAGGGACACCCGUUCUUCCGAAAUGUUGAUUGGGAUAUGAUGGAGCAAAAACAGGUGGUACCUCCCUUUAAACCAAAUAUUUCUGGGGAAUUUGGUUUGGACAACUUUGAUUCUCAGUUUACUAAUGAACCUGUCCAGCUCACUCCAGAUGACGAUGACAUUGUGAGGAAGAUUGAUCAGUCUGAAUUUGAAGGUUUUGAGUAUAUCAAUCCUCUUUUGAUGUCUGCAGAAGAAUGUGUCUGAUCCUCAUUUUUCAACCAUGUAUUCUACUCAUGUUGCCAUUUAAUGCAUGGAUAAACUUGCUGCCAGCCUGGAUACAAUUAACCAUUUUAUAUUUGCCACCUACAAAAAAACACCCAAUAUCUUCUCUUGUAGACUAUAUGAAUCAAUUAUUACAUCUGUUUUACUAUGAAAAAGAAAUUAAUACUACUAGCUUCCAGACAAUCAUGUCAAAAUUUAGUUGAACUGGUUUUUCAGUUUUUAAAAGGCCUACAGAUGAGUAAUGAAGUUAUCUUUUUUGUUUAAAAAAAAAAAACACUGCAUUAAAGAAGUAUCUGUUGCAUUAAGGCACAUAGUGGGAUUACAUCAUAAACCUCCCAUAAUUUUUGUCAUUCUGUGUUAAAUCAUUUCAGGGUUUAAUUUUGAAAUAAAAGAUUAAUAUAAAAUGCAACAACUUUUUAUAUUACCUAUUAGUUUUGGAGUUCUUUAUGUUUAAAAAUUCAGGUGUAAAUUUUAUUGCCUUGGAUAAAUAAAUUAUUGAUCUUUUUUAAGGCAGCAGUUAUUAAAUUGGUAAUAGAAGAUGCUGCUUGCUUAGAAUUGGGAAAUUCAGCUGGGUGCAGUGACUCAAUGCCUGUGAUCCCAGUACUUUGGGAGGUUGAGGCGGGCAGAUCACUUGAGGUCAGGAGUUUGAGAUUGGCCUGGUCAACAUGGUGAAAUCCUGUCUCUACUAAAAAUACAAAAAUUAGCUGGGCAUGGUGGCACAUACCUGUAAUCCCAGCUACUCGGGAGGCUGAAACAGGAGAAUCGCUUGAACCCAGGAGAUGGAGUUGGCAGUGAGCCAAGAUUACUCCAGCCUGGGCAACAGUGAGUGAGACUCGGUCUCAAACAAAACAAAACAAAAACCAAAUUGGGAAAUUCUUCUUGAGUUAAAAAAGACACUUUUUAUUAUGAAUCAGAUUCCAAAUCAUUAACUAUUUUUGCAAAACUGGCACAAGUGGUUUUUCUUUUUAAGUAUAUUAACGGGGUAGCUCCUGAGCCUAUCCCUUUAUUGGAAACUUUAACUGCAGUGUUAAUAUAUACACUGCAAAAGACCAAGGAUGCAGUUGAAUGGAAAAUUACUCAGUGUAUAGAAAGGAAAAAAACCAGAAAUUUAAAAUAGAUACAGAAGAGUACACUGGUAAUAUUUUUAUUUCCUAUUGGAGAGUGAAUCCCCACAGUUGCUUUUUGUGACUUGAUUCAAAUGAGGCACUCAUUAUUGUUACCAAACUUGUAAAAGCAUUCCAUGUCUUCAGUGGAGGCAGAAUGUAUAAUAUUUUUUCCUUAUAAUUUAGCAUACAGGAAAAUUAUUUAUUUUUUAAGUAGGGUAUCUUAAUUAUGCUCAUUUCUUCCCCUAAACCAUAUUAUCUAUAUGAUUGGACCCUUUAGUGAAAUCAGAAAAAUAAAGUAGGCAUGAAUAAACGUUCAGGACACACACAUACACUCACACACAUCACAGUAUCAGCUCUUCCAGUGAGUUUUUAUUAACUAGAUAACACAUGUAAUACAUAGUAGAAUACAUUUCAGAGGCAGAGUUCCUCGGAUUAUUUUUUAUGGAUAUUAGUGUUCAGCAGCUUAUUAUUUAAAGGGGUGCCAAAUAUAGCAUCCUUCUGUUGUUUAUUUUAAAUAUUUUUUUAAUGAAAAGGGACUUAAAAAGUAAACAUGAUUAUCUAAAUUACUUAAAAUUUUUUAAUCUUAGUAAAACUUAAUUUUAGGAAAGUUAUCUAGUUUAAAUUUCAAAUGUUUUAAAAUUUGUAGGCAUUUAAUAAAUUAUCUUUUUUUGGAGGGGUGGAUGCUACAUUUCAUUGGAAAUGUCAUUUUUCCAAAGUUUCUAGCUGUGUACUCUCUUUCCUUCAAGUAACAUAAGUCUGAAAGCAAUGAAAACGUCAAAGGAAAAUGUUUAUAUACAUCCACAUGUUUAUUUAAUAUGUUUCUCUUAACACCUGAAACUUGUUUUAAAACAAAAAGCAGUAUUCACUUCAAAUCAUAAACUUAGAAUUCUGUAUCUCAUGUCAGAAAUAUGUUUAUGGCCUUGCUUUUAAGUGGUGCUGUUUCCCGUAGGGCAUUAGUUCUCAGAUUUGGGAAUGUGAAAUAAUCACCUAGGAAGUUGGUUUAAAAUGCACACUAGUGAGCCCACCUUAGACUUCUUUUGGGGCCUUCGACCUCACUUUGAGAAAUACCUUCUUCAGGUUAUUCUUUAUGUUUGUCCUGUGGUUAAAUAUUAGAGUAUUCAUGAUAAAACAUUUUGAGAAGGGGUAAGCAGUGAGUUAUUACCCACAAUUUAAAGCAAAUUUUGAAUGAAUCUUUAAGUUAGGUAUCUACCUUCCCGCCAGCCCCCCAAAAAAACCUCUCAGUGGUUUCUAUCAGUGUACAAAAUGAUGAGCAUUUUUCUAUGAUGAGGUUUUAACCAUUAUUCAGGGUGGUCUUUUGUUUUUAAAUCUUUUUUUAACAAGAUUUACGGUGUGUAUUUUAUACAGAAAUGCAUUAUAAAUGUUUUUAAUUGUGUUCUGUUUUUUGCAGUCUUUAAGUGCCAUGCCAAUUGUUCUUAUAUUCUAUAGAGGUUCGCUCAAAAUACUCAACAGGGGAAUAGGCAGCGGACAGUCAGAAUGGUUGGAAUUUUGGCGUUCUAAGAAAAACUUUAUUUUGCAUAAGCAUGUGGUCAGAUCAUUUUGUGCAUAUGCAGCCUGGAUUGGAUGUUAAGUAAAUGCUUGUUCAGUGCCGGUACAUUUACUUAAAUCUGUUUUUAUUUUUGUCAUGUAGAAUACUACUGUGGUCAUCAUAAUGUAAUCUGUAUUUCUGUACCUUUUUUUUUUUUUUUUACUUUGAAGUCUUUAAAUAAAAUGUAUAAUACCCA
rnacentral:sRNA from 1 species